rnacentral:sRNA from 1 species
AAAUUUCUCAACCUUAAAACAAGAUGCUGGCCUAGGGCUAGGAGAGGACUUCUUAGCUGAAGCUCCUGCUUCUCUGGACAACUUUCCUCUUCCUUCUUGCAAAUGCUUUGCAGAGGGACUUGCACCUCUGCUGCUGGACCUGGUCAGGAGCAAGAGGAAAUUUAAAACAUUCCUCGGGAGUGCUUGCUCCCAGUGGAUUGCAUUUGAUUGCCCCUUGUCCUUUGUUGCUUUCUUUUUGUGUUGUUUAAUUCUGCUUCUUUUUUACUGCUAUGGAUAUUGCAGAUAUGUGUGAAAUUUUACUCUAUUAGGUCAUCACCUUUAGUAAAUAUUUAUCCUUGCAUAAUUUGAGUUGGUAGACAUGUUUGUUUUGUAAUAUUCCCCUUAGUAAUAUGAGAUAGAAGUACAUUGGUAAUGGUAGAGAUAGAUAUUUCUAAUUAGGUACUAAUGUUUCUUACAGUUUUCAGAAUAAGUAAGGAAUAAUUUUUAUGCCGUAUAUUGCCUUCCUUUUACAGUGAAGAAGAACUGUUGUAUCUGAGUUUCAUUGAAGAUGUAACAGAUGAAAUUUUGAAACUUGGUUUAUUUUCAAACAGGUUUUUAGAACGACUGUUCGAGCGACAUAUAAAACAAAAUAAACACUUGGAGGAGGAAAAAAUGCGCCACCUGCUGCAUGUCCUGAAACUAGACUUAGGCUGCACAUCGGAGGAAAACUUGGUAAAGCAAAAUGAUGUUGAUAUGUUGAAUGUAUUUGAUUUUGAAAAGGCUGGGAAUUCAGAACCAAAUGAAUUAAAAAACGAAAGUGGAGUAACAAUUCAGCAGGAACGUCAACAAUACCAAAAGUCUUUGGAUGUGUUAUUGUCAGCACCAGAGGAUGAGAACGAGAUAUUC